CAUAAUAUAUAGAAAUCCCAACUUGAAAUUCUAAUUAUAAUUUCUUUUUCUUUUUCUUUUUUACGAGAGAAAACAAUUUUCCUUUUUCCUUCAUAAGUAUGUUUCCUCUAAUUUUUCCUUUUCGUUUGUUUUUUAAACUACCCAAACCCACCGACAACAUUUUGCCCCUGGAAUCCUUCAUAAAAGCACCGAUCGUAUCCAAUGGAAUGGAAGAAUCGUUUAUUAUAAUUUAGCACUGGAUUUGCUGCUUGGCAAUUGAAGUAAGCACAAACAUAUUAUGGGUUUGGGACAAAAUUUGUCUGACAUUUACAUGUUUGUCUAGGUAGGUGAUUUCCUGGUCACCGACAUUGCAACUGCAUCAUUGGAACUGAGCACUGAGUCCAAGCAGCCCCGGUUAAGUACCGUAGUCAUUCUAUGUUAUAAAACAAUUAGUGAAGCUUCCUGCAAAAUAAGCUUAUUCAACACUCGAAACUGUCAGCUAGCGAUGGGACUGCAAGUUCUAAUCUUUUCUGUUCUUCUUUACUCGAUCAAGAUCUGGUGUUUGCGCUUAGAAGAUAGCAGCAUUUUCUGUUCUGCCACUUGUACCAACAUCAAAGAACCGUUUUGCUAGGUCCAUCACCAUCGGUGUUUCCAAAGGGCAUUUCAAGCUUCA